GACGAACGUUGGCGGCGUGCUUAAUACAUGCAAGUCAACUGAAGCAGUGGUAGCAAUAUCGCUGUGGAGGUGGCGCACGGGUGAGUAACACGUAGGUAAUCUGCCUUCAGGUCUGGCAUAGCUCCGGGAAACCGGGGCUAAUAGCAGAUGAUGCAGCGGCUCGACAUCGAGACAGUUGUUAAAGCUAUGGCGCCUGAAGAUGAGCCUGCGUCUGAUUAGCUAGUUGGCGGGGUAACGGCCCACCAAGGCAACGAUCAGUAGCUGGUCUGAGAGGAUGAUCAGCCACACUGGAACUGAGACACGGUCCAGACUCCUACGGGAGGCAGCAGUAAGGAAUAUUGCUCAAUGGGAGAAAUCCUGAAGCAGCAACGCCGCGUGAGGGACGAAGGGCUUUUGCUUGUAAACCUCUGUAGUGAGAGAAAAAAAUCCCAAUCUUUGGGACAUGAUGGUAUCUCAAAAGUAAGCCCCGGCUAACUACGUG
rnacentral:rRNA from 1 species